rnacentral:rRNA from 1 species
UACGGAGGGUGCAAGCGUUAUCCGGAUUCACUGGGUUUAAAGGGUGCGUAGGAGGGUAGGUAAGUCAGUGGUGAAAUCUUCGAGCUUAACUCGGAAACUGCCGUUGAUACUAUCUAUCUUGAAUACCGUGGAGGUGAGCGGAAUAUGUCAUGUAGCGGUGAAAUGCUUAGAUAUGACAUAGAACACCAAUUGCGAAGGCAGCUCGCUACACGGAUAUUGACUCUGAGGCACGAAAGCGUGGGGAUCAAACAGG